ensembl:antisense Evx1os uncharacterized LOC110317105
AAAGGCAAUUAGACCACUGGGACCAUUUCCGACCUGGCGCCGCCAGCCCGGGAAGUGACAAGUACCGCUGGUGACGCCACUCGGCGAACGCAAGUGGAUAAAUAGAAACGUCUGCCACAGCGAAGAUGAAAGGAGACCCGCAGCUAAUGGCUCGGCAGUGAUGCGCCAGGUGUGGGCCUCGCUCGAAUGGGGAGGAGAGUGUGAAAACAGAGAGACACACACACUGGGAAAGGGAGACACCCAGACACAGAGGAUGCAAAUGGAAUUCCGCACACAGAAAAGGGAGCGCUUAAGGCGCGCAGCGAGUUCCACAGGGGCAGCAGGACUUGAUGGCCUGCCUUGAAUUUGGAUUGGCUCUUCAUAGAAGAAAACAUCUUUUGGUUUGGCUUCUCUCCUGGCUAUUUCAGGUUAUUUACUGAGCAGCGGAAGAAGGGAGGAAAAGUCUAAUAACGCAUGAAGCAAGGUAACCCUUCGAAAGUAAAGAGAGGUGACAGCCGCCUUAGUGGAGUCCGGCCCCGGUGCAUCUCUCCCCGCCGACCUGCGGUCCUUCUCCUGCUGGGGCGAUCCGCUCGGAUGCCGCCAGUUCUUCGCGGAUUGAAAUUCUCUGAACUUCAAAAGCUAUGGGUUUUGGGCUUCCGCCCGGCUAGGGGGGGAUAGAGGGUGGCUGAGAAUCCUAGGGAGCUGAGGGGAGAUAAGUUGUGCCCGUCGUUUUAAAUGGAAUCUGAACCCUUGCUUGGGCCACCGAACGUGGAUCCCCACGGAAACAGCUUCGCUUCGCAAGAAAAUCCGGCUCGGGAGAGAGGCGACUGCUGUCUGUCUAAGCGACCCGAGGCCCGUGGGGCGUGGUCAGCAGCGGUCCUGAGCCGUCGGGAGCACCUUUGCACGCGCCUGCUGAAAGGCAAAGGGUGAAAGGAUGAAAGUCCAGGGACCUGGAGCUGGUUUACCUGCUUCCUCCCGGAGAGUGGGGGGUGAAGGAGUCGACUAGGGAAAGAAAAAAAAAUUAACUUUUCUUUCGUCAAAUGUAAGAACAAAGAGAGCAUCCUUCUAAAUAGUAAGAGUCUCCCAACUGUCUUAGAUACUGUCCUCUGGUCCUCUGUGACUUUCAGGUUGUGACAGGGAUAUUUCCGCAAAGUUUCUGUGACUCUGGGUCUUCGCAGCUAGAGAGGGUGGCAGUGGGAGUAUCUAUCAGUCCAGCUCCACUUCUCCCAAUGCAGCUGUCCAGGCCUCCUUUUGAGGUCAGACUCACUGAGUGGUGUGCCCCUUGGGGGAACAUUCCCCAGGAGAAAAGAUUUACUGAAAGCCAAAGUCCAGAGGUUCAGGCUUCCAGGAGCCCAGAGAUCAAAUAAUCUGGACCGAUUCCCUUCCCCUGGAGGCAGUGUUCAGCUGCGGUGGGCAAUGCGGAACAGUUUUCCUCUUCAGAAGGUUGAGCUGGAGUCUUCACGAGUCCAGUUAGGAGAAGUGCUCAGCCUCUGGGCCUCCUGAUGUAAAGGACACAGGUAUCUGAGGCAAGAAAUGGGGUGCUUCAUGGCCUCCAAUGCCUGAUACUUCUCAGAACCCCAAAGGUAUCCAGUCCUGCCUAUUCUCCCUCUGGACCUGUCUGCUUAGUCUACUGAAAACCAGCAUCUAGUGGCUUCCUGCCCCUGUUCUGCCUCUGCUGUCUAGAAGCCCAUCUCCCCCUCACCCCCCACCCCCAACCCUGGCUCACUGUGAAUACAGCAGUGGGGAACAGACCCACCACAGGACUGACACCCCAAGCUCUUUUCACCUGAGGCUAACAACAUUGUCCCUUUGGACAAGGUCUGGAUGGGCCCAGUGUAGUUUGUUCCCUCCCAUUCAAGGGUGCCUGCAUGGUACAAAUGAUAGCUAGCUCCCGCCUUGCCCUAACAGAAGUGCCACAGCCUCUUUCAUCAUUACUAUUCUGAAACUUGCUAUUAUUACAAGGCUAGUUGACAUUCACGUCUCUUUUAGCUACAUAAGAGUUCUUUAACAGGUCUUAAUAGUCUUAACAGUCUGUAAGACUUUUUCCCCUCAGUUGUAGGGUGACCAGUAGCCCUAACAAGUGGCCAUGGCAAGACUGAGUGUCAGACCUAGGCUCCUCCUCCUAAGUCAUCUUCCUUCCUGUCCUUGGGGAAAUCUUUUCUGCUAUCAUGUUGAGAUAACACCCCACAGCCUUUCUGGAAUCUAGAUGGGUCUGUACCCACAGCAGGUCCUCCCUACCCUCAAGAGCACACUCCUCUGAAGAAAAGGCCCCUGGCCACACUGAUGCCACCGCUCCCCAACAUAGAUCACUUCCCAGGAGGACAAAGAGUCCUGUGGUAAGAGCAGCCACUGUGUAAGAGCAGCAUGAUUUUACACAUUUGUGUUUUCCAACGUCUACAGGCUGGGGAUGGGAGUAUGAAUUAUCCCUGGCUUGCAGCUGAGAAGACUAAAUGGGGAGAAAUACAUGCACGAGUAAGAGGAUUCUACCCACCCCUCCCUGCCAUGAAGACAGUCUCAGAGCAGCUCUUGGAAGCUGGGCUGUGUGGUAGAACGCUUGCCUGGCUACCAUGAGGUACCAGGCUUGGACUCUGAGGCUUUCAUACUAAGAAGCCAGCUUGAGCUUUUCAGCAGGGUCCUUUUGCUCCCACCUCAUUCAUAGAAGAGGGGACAAUUCCUGGGACUCUAGGUACUCCCCUUGGGCCUGCAAGGGAUGGAGAAAAGGCUGCAAACCACUUGGAAAUACUCCCUCUACAGGAUAGGGGCCAGCAGCUGGGUGAGGACUGUACAGGGGACUAUAGGAGAAAAAAAAAAAACUAACCCGCUGUGACCAUGUGGCAGGCCAUUGGGACCUGAAAGCAGAACCUCCAAUCUUCAUUCAGAAUGCCCAAAUGUCAGUAUAAUUACUGACUUUGGACAUCUUAAAGCAUCUGCUCAUCCCAUGGC